rnacentral:rRNA from 1 species
UGGGGAAUAUUGCACAAUGGGCGCAAGCCUGAUGCAGCCAUGCCGCGUGUGUGAAGAAGGCCUUCGGGUUGUAAAGCACUUUCAGCGGGGAGGAAGGCGUUAAGGUUAAUAACCUUGGCGAUUGACGUUACCCGCAGAAGAAGCACCGGCUAACUCCGUGCCAGCAGCCGCGGUAAUACGGAGGGUGCAAGCGUUAAUCGGAAUUACUGGGCGUAAAGCGCACGCAGGCGGUCUGUCAAGUCGGAUGUGAAAUCCCCGGGCUCUACCUGGGAACUGCAUUCGAAACUGGCAGGCUAGAGUCUUGUAGAGGGGGGUAGAAUUCCAGGUGUAGCGGUGAAAUGCGUAGAGAUCUGGAGGAAUACCGGUGGCGAAGGCGGCCCCCUGGACAAAGACUGACGCUCAGGUGCGAAAGCGUGGGGAGCAAACAGG